rnacentral:rRNA from 1 species
GACGAACGCUGGCGGCGUGCCUAAUACAUGCAAGUCGAACGCAGUGGGGACGGGUGAGUAACACGUGGGUAACCUCCCAUCAGAGGGGGAUACACUUGGAAACAAGUGCCAACCCCAUUGCGGUGGGAGGACCCGCUGUGCAGUAGCUAGUUGGUGAGGUUACGGCUCACCAAGGCCACGAUGCAUAGCCGACCUGAGAGGGUGAUCGGCCACACUGGGACUGAGACACGGCCCAGACGCCUCCGGGAGGCAGCAGUAGGGAAUCUUCGGCAAUGGACGAAAGUCUGACCGAGCAACGCCGCGUGAGUGAAGAAGGUUUUCGGAUCGUAAAACUCUGUUGUUAGAGAAGCGGUAUCUAACCAGAAAGCCACGGCUAACUACGUGCCAGCCGCCGCGGUAAUAC